rnacentral:rRNA from 1 species
GGGCGUUAAGUUGCAGGGUAUAGACCCGAAACCCGGUGAUCUAGCCAUGGGCAGGUUGAAGGUUGGGUAACACUAACUGGAGGACCGAACCGACUAAUGUUGAAAAAUUAGCGGAUGACUUGUGGCUGGGGGUGAAAGGCCAAUCAAACCGGGAGAUAGCUGGUUCUCCCCGAAAGCUAUUUAGGUAGCGCCUCGUGAAUUCAUCUCCGGGGGUAGAGCACUGUUUCGGCAAGGGGGUCAUCCCGACUUACCAACCCGAUGCAAACUGCGAAUACCGGAGAAUGUUAUCACGGGAGACACACGGCGGGUGCUAACGUCCGUCGUGAAGAGGGAAACAACCCAGACCGCCAGCUAAGGUCCCAAAGUCAUGGUUAAGUGGGAAACGAUGUGGGAAGGCCCAGACAGCCAGGAUGUUGGCUUAGAAGCAGCCAUCAUUUAAAGAAAGCGUAAUAGCUCACUGGUCGAGUCGGCCUGCGCGGAAGAUGUAACGGGGCUAAACCAUGCACCGAAGCUGCGGCAGCGACACUGUGUGUUGUUGGGUAGGGGAGCGUUCUGUAAGCCUGUGAAGGUGUGCUGUGAGGCAUGCUGGAGGUAUCAGAAGUGCGAAUGCUGACAUAAGUAACGAUAAAGCGGGUGAAAAGCCCGCUCGCCGGAAGACCAAGGGUUCCUGUCCAACGUUAAUCGGGGCAGGGUGAGUCGACCCCUAAGGCGAGGCCGAAAGGCGUAGUCGAUGGGAAACAGGUUAAUAUUCCUGUACUUGGUGUUACUGCGAAGGGGGGACGGAGAAGGCUAUGUUGGCCGGGCGACGGUUGUCCCGGUUUAAGCGUGUAGGCUGGUUUUCCAGGCAAAUCCGGAAAAUCAAGGCUGAGGCGUGAUGACGAGGCACUACGGUGCUGAAGCAACAAAUGCCCUGCUUCCAGGAAAAGCCUCUAAGCAUCAGGUAACAUCAAAUCGUACCCCAAACCGACACAGGUGGUCAGGUAGAGAAUACCAAGGCGCUUGAGAGAACUCGGGUGAAGGAACUAGGCAAAAUGGUGCCGUAACUUCGGGAGAAGGCACGCUGAUAUGUAGGUGAAGUCCCUCGCGGAUGGAGCUGAAAUCAGUCGAAGAUACCAGCUGGCUGCAACUGUUUAUUAAAAACACAGCACUGUGCAAACACGAAAGUGGACGUAUACGGUGUGACGCCUGCCCGGUGCCGGAAGGUUAAUUGAUGGGGUCAGCGCAAGCGAAGCUCUUGAUCGAAGCCCCGGUAAACGGCGGCCGUAACUAUAACGGUCCUAAGGUAGCGAAAUUCCUUGUCGGGUAAGUUCCGACCUGCACGAAUGGCGUAAUGAUGGCCAGGCUGUCUCCACCCGAGACUCAGUGAAAUUGAACUCGCUGUGAAGAUGCAGUGUACCCGCGGCAAGACGGAAAGACCCCGUGAACCUUUACUAUAGCUUGACACUGAACAUUGAGCCUUGAUGUGUAGGAUAGGUGGGAGGCUUUGAAGUGUGGACGCCAGUCUGCAUGGAGCCGACCUUGAAAUACCACCCUUUAAUGUUUGAUGUUCUAACGUGGACCCGUGAUCCGGGUUGCGGACAGUGUCUGGUGGGUAGUUUGACUGGGGCGGUCUCCUCCUAAAGAGUAACGGAGGAGCACGAAGGUUGGCUAAUCCUGGUCGGACAUCAGGAGGUUAGUGCAAUGGCAUAAGCCAG